rnacentral:rRNA from 1 species
CCUACGGGAGGCAGCAGUGGGGAAUAUUGCACAAUGGGGGAAACCCUGAUGCAGCAACGCCGCGUGAGUGAUGACGGCCUUCGGGUUGUAAAGCUCUGUCUUCAGGGACGAUAAUGACGGUACCUGAGGAGGAAGCCACGGCUAACUACGUGCCAGCAGCCGCGGUAAUACGUGGGUGGCGAGGGUGGUCGGGAUUUUUUGGGUUUAAGGGGUGCGGAGGCGGUCCGGAAAGGCAGCGGUAAAAGCCCGGGGCUCAACCCCGGCGAGCCGUUGAAACUGUCGGACUAGAGACGGCGAGACGUACGCGGAAUGGGCGGUGUAGCGGUGAAAUGCAUAGAUAUCGCGCAGAACUCCGAUUGCGAAGGCAGCGUACCGGCGCCGGACUGACGCUGAGGCACGAAAGCGUGGGUAGCGAACAGGAUUAGAUACCCCUGUAGUC